GACGAACGCUUGCGGCGUGCUUAACACAUGCAAGUCGAACGGAAAGGCCCUGCUUUUGUGGGGUGCUCGAGUGGCGAACGGGUGAGUAACACGUGAGUAACCUGCCCUUGACUUUGGGAUAACUUCAGGAAACUGGGGCUAAUACCGGAUAGGAGCUCCUGCUGCAUGGUGGGGGUUGGAAAGUUUCGGCGGUUGGGGAUGGACUCGCGGCUUAUCAGCUUGUUGGUGGGGUAGUGGCUUACCAAGGCUUUGACGGGUAGCCGGCCUGAGAGGGUGACCGGCCACAUUGGGACUGAGAUACGGCCCAGACUCCUACGGGAGGCAGCAGUGGGGAAUAUUGCACAAUGGGCGGAAGCCUGAUGCAGCAACGCCGCAUGCGGGAUGACGGCCUUCGGGUUGUAAACCGCUUUCGCCUGUGACGAAGCGUGAGUGACGGUAAUGGGUAAAGAAGCACCGGCUAACUACGUGCCAGCAGCCGCGGUGAUACGUAGGGUGCGAGCGUUGUCCGGAUUUAUUGGGCGUAAAGGGCUCGUAGGUGGUUGAUCGCGUCGGAAGUGUAAUCUUGGGGCUUAACCCUGAGCGUGCUUUCGAUACGGGUUGACUUGAGGAAGGUAGGGGAGAAUGGAAUUCCUGGUGGAGCGGUGGAAUGCGCAGAUAUCAGGAGGAACACCAGUGGCGAAGGCGGUUCUCUGGGCCUUUCCUGACGCUGAGGAGCGAAAGCGUGGGGAGCGAACAGGCUUAGAUACCCUGGUAGUCCACGCUGUAAACGGUGGGUACUAGGUGUGGGGUCCAUUCCACGGGUUCCGUGCCGUAGCUAACGCUUUAAGUACCCCGCCUGGGGAGUACGGCCGCAAGGCUAAAACUCAAAGGAAUUGACGGGGCCCCGCACAAGCGGCGGAGCAUGCGGAUUAAUUCGAUGCAACGCGUAGAACCUUACCUGGGUUUGACAUGGAUCGGGAGUGCUCAGAGAUGGGUGUGCCUCUUUUGGGGUCGGUUCACAGGUGGUGCAUGGCUGUCGUCAGCUCGUGUCGUGAGAUGUUGGGUUAAGUCCCGCAACGAGCGCAACCCUUGUUCACUGUUGCCAGCACGUUAUGGUGGGGACUCAGUGGAGACCGCCGGGGUCAACUCGGAGGAAGGUGGGGAUGACGUCAAGUCAUCAUGCCCCUUAUGUCCAGGGCUUCACGCAUGCUACAAUGGCUGGUACAGAGAGUGGCGAGCCUGUGAGGGUGAGCGAAUCUCGGAAAGCCGGUCUCAGUUCGGAUUGGGGUCUGCAACUCGACCUCAUGAAGUCGGAGUCGCUAGUAAUCGCAGAUCAGCAACGCUGCGGUGAAUACGUUCCCGGGGCU
rnacentral:rRNA from 1 species